UUGGGUCUUUUGCUUAUAUGUUUGGGUUUAUGUAUGAAAUUGACCUAAUUGAUGUAUGCUUACUAACAAGGGCAUGUAGCGUGGGUGGUUUAGGGUGCACCAAGCCUCGCCCCUUUUCAACCAACUAAUUAAUGAUUAAAUAUAUUUUCCAGAUUGUUCCUUUCUCAUGUGGGGAAAAGUCAAAGGUUUUAGAUUCCACCUAAAUCUUCAUGGAAUUGUAACGAUAGAAUCUGCUUCGCUUAUAGAAGAUCAUCCUCAUUCGCCUUCAGAACACAUGGGGGCUGAAAAUCACAUGUCAAAUGGCAAUUCAACCCCUCUACUACACACAUACAAAAAAGGGGGACAACUUGGGACAUGCAAUUGGAUUUCUAAAUAGGAAACUUGGAUCCUGCUACAACAUCAAUUGAGGGAUUGAAGAUGUCAGAUGCAGAUUUAGAGUUGUAUUUCCAUUGUAUGACCUGCAACAAUAGUCCUCACAGUAAGGCCAAAACAAGGAGGCUGCAAACUCUUUGCUAUCACCCUCAAUUGAGUCCUCUCUAAUCCAUAAAUUUUCUUGGAAAUCCCAAUUCUAUCACUGGAUAGGUUAGCUAAUUAGUUGUAUAUACCCUGUUUUAAACUUGAUUUUAGGGAUUUACAAGUAUUUAACAUUAUUUCAGGGAUUUUGUAUACUCUUGACAAGACUAGUUUGCUUAUCCAUUGUUGCUAUUUACUUUUCUCAUGUCAUGGUAAUAAGUAAUAACAAUCUACUCUC